GAAAGAAGCUUGGCUGGAGUUGUAACAGUAAACUAUUUACUUGUAGCCUGUUCUCGUAGUUUUAGAGCCGAUGUUUGCGAUAAUGGUCGGACCUGUCCUUUCCUUGCUUCUCUCGACACGCAGUGGCAAACCAUUCUUGCAAAGCUGCAUGUGAUACUGUGUAAGUGUAUGUAGUAAGCACAACCCAUGUGCUUCUAGCUACCUCAGGUGAAAUGGAGAAAAGAAACUUUGUCUCCGAUUGCCAUCAUCUUAAAAGUCGCUGUUCAGCUCUGGAGCGGGAACAAACUGCACAAUUUCGUCGUUGUCAUGGCUCCUUUGGCAAAGAGUCCUCCUCACUGGAAGAAUACAUCGCAAAGCUGAGAAAUGAUCGAAAUCUCGAAGAUACUCACUUGCGGCAGCACUUGUCGAAGAUCAAAGCAGUGUCGAUCGGUUUCGCCAGUCACUCAACACAGUGCAGGGAAACCCCAAGGUCAGUCCUAUGUGUUGGUGCUC